rnacentral:misc_RNA from 1 species
UAUCCUUGCUAUGCCUUUGGCAGUGGGGGUUUGGUUGGUUCGUUGUUGAUUAGUCUUAGCAAUCGCGUGGGCGUGUGAGUGGUAAUCGGGAUGUUUGUGCUGGCUGGCUCCAUGCUCGUGCAUCGAACGGUCUGCACGCAACCCUCUCCAGUAAUCACCUUAUGCCUUGUGCUAUGGUGUUUGCUUCGGUUCCUGUGUUGGCUACCUAUCGAAGGCACUCGGGUGGCUUGCUGAAAUCUACCCAUCCCGGCCUCUUCGGUGGGGUCGUGGAGGGCUUGGAAGCGACACGUGCGCGCCCACUUAGUCAUGCUCCACGGUGACUAACUUGGUCCGCACUUGCUCGUUGUAUUCCUGGAUGCGGUGCAUGUGGUGAACGUGGGUCUUUUUCCCGCUGUGUCCCUUUACUUUCGGUUGAAUUGAAUGAUGCCUGUCUUUUUUGCGUGGUUUGCUUCCCACAAGUGGGUGCAAAGCAUGCAUCUAGGGCAGUGUCAUUGAUGGAUGCUACCUGGUUGAUCCUGCCAGUAGUCAUAUGCUUGUCUCAA